GCGGGUGUAGCUCAGUUGGUAGAGCACGACCUUGCCAAGGUCGUUGUCGUCGGUUCGAGACCGAUCACCCGCUCCA
rnacentral:tRNA from 1 species